CUGUUUUCUUCGUAAAUCCAUCCGCUCUCUUUCGCUCUCUUUCGCUCUCUGUUUGAAGUACAUUACACUGUAAGUUUGUUCCCUGAAAUUUUUGGAGGUUUUCUAUUCCUGAUUGCAGUCGAAACGGCAAUUCAUUAUGUGUUCGUUCUCUGAAGUUUCUGCGUAAAAUCUCUCAUUAUCGAGUCGCGCUCUUCACCUUUUGGAAUUUCAAACGGAAGUAGUGGAUCGAAACCUGCUACAACGGUUGAUUAUCGAUUUUUUUUUUUUGGCUAGGUAUACACUUUUCUCAUUUGAGGACUUUUCUCGCCUGAAUCUCAUUGUGGAAGUUUUUGAUUGAUAUCUUGUACUGAACAUGUGUAGGUUUUGUUCUUUAUUUUGAUGCAACAUUAUACGAUGUAAGUACCUAUGAGAUUAUGGAUCACAUCACAGUGCCAAAUAAAUUGAGUCGGGUUCUUAUGGAUCGUGUGUCGCCUCGUUCUCGCUUGAAUUACAACCUUGUCACUGCUUUAGUCCUAACAAGGUGAAUUUUCUGAUACCGUUAUCUUUAUAAAUAUUGCAACAUUUUGUUUUAAUUUAUGGAGUACGGUCCCGUUUAGAGCAAAA